rnacentral:rRNA from 1 species
UACGUAGGGCGCAAGCGUUGUCCGGAAUUAUUGGGCGUAAAGAGCUCGUAGGUGGCUGGUCGCGUUGUUCGUGAAAACCUGCAGCUUAACUGUGGGCGUGCGGUCGAUACGGGCAUCACUGGAGUUCGGCAGGGGAGACUGGAAUUCCUGGUGUAGCGGUGAAAUGCGCAGAUAUCAGGAGGAACACCGGUGGCGAAGGCGGGUCUCUGGGCAAUAACUGACGCUGAGGAGCGAAAGCGUGGGGAGCAAACAGG